GACGAACGCUGGCGGCGUGCUUAACACAUGCAAGUCGAACGGAAAGGCCCUGCUUUUGUGGGGUGCUCGAGUGGCGAACGGGUGAGUAACACGUGAGUAACCUGCCCUUGACUUUGGGAUAACUUCAGGAAACUGGGGCUAAUACCGGAUAGGAGCUCCUGCUGCAUGGUGGGGGUUGGAAAGUUUCGGCGGUUGGGGACGGACUCGCGGCUUAUCAGCUUGUUGGUGGGGUAGUGGCUUACCAAGGCUUUGACGGGUAGCCGGCCUGAGAGGGUGACCGGCCACAUUGGGACUGAGAUACGGCCCAGACUCCUAUGGGAGGCAGCAGUGGGGAAUAUUGCACAAUGGGCGGAAGCCUGAUGCAGCAACGCCGCGUGCGGGAUGACGGCCUUCGGGUUGUAAACCGCUUUCGCCUGUGACGAAGCGUGAGUGACGGUAAUGGGUAAAGAAGCACCGGCUAACUACGUG
rnacentral:rRNA from 1 species